rnacentral:rRNA from 1 species
UACGUAGGGUGCAAGCGUUGUCCGGAAUUAUUGGGCGUAAAGAGCUCGUAGGCGGUCUGUCGCGUCGGAUGUGAAAAUCCAGGGCUCAACCCUGGACCUGCAGUGGGUACGGGCAGACUAGAGUGUGGUAGGGGAGACUGGAAUUCCUGGUGUAGCGGUGAAAUGCGCAGAUAUCAGGAGGAACACCGAUGGCGAAGGCAGGUCUCUGGGCCACUACUGACGCUGAGAAGCGAAAGCAUGGGGAGCGAACAGG